UCCAGGAUGUUCUGACCACACCAGAGGACCAAUUGUUCCACCUCCUGUCUGUAUGCAGCCUCAUCACCAUCAUGGAUGAGUCAAAUGAUGGUGGUGUCGUCUGCAAACUUCAGGAGUUUAACAGAGUGGUUCCCUGAGAUGCAGUCGUUUGUAUAGAAGGAAAAGAGCAGUGAGGAGAGCACACACCCCUGAGGGGCACCAGUGCUGAUUGUACAUGUGCUGGAUGUGAUGCUCCUCAGCCUCACCUGCUGCUUCCUGUCUGUCAGGAAGUUGGACAUCCACUGGCAGAUGGGGGAUGG